GACGAACGCUGGCGGCGUGCUUAACACAUGCAAGUCGAACGAUGAAAGAGAAUCCGAUCUCUUCGGAGUGAAGAAUCUCUGGAUUAGUGGCGGACGGGUGAGUAACGCGUGAGCAAUCUGCCCUACACAAAGGGAUAGCCUCGGGAAACCGGGAUUAAUACCAUAUGAUAUCUAUUCACCGCAUGGUAGAUAGAUUAAAGAAUUUCGGUGUAAGAUGAGCUCGCGUCCCAUUAAUUAGUUGGUGAGGGUAACGGCCCACCAAGAUAGCGAUGGGUAGCCGAUCUAAGAGGAUGACCGGCCACAUUGGAACUGAGAAACGGUCCAAACUCCUACGGGAGGCAGCAGUGGGGAAUAUUGCACAAUGGGGGAAACCCUGAUGCAGCGACGCCGCGUGAGCGAUGAAGGCUUUCGAGUCGUAAAGCUCUGUCCUAUGGGAAGAUAAUGACGGUACCAUAGAAGAAAGCCCCGGCUAAUUACGUGCCAGCCGCC
rnacentral:rRNA from 2 species